AGUGUACUAUUUAUCUACAGCAAAAGGAAUCUAAGAGAUAACCACCUAUACACUUGUCUCUAUUCUAUUGGUUAUUUUAUAACUACUCACAUGUUAUUUAUAAUAAUAAAAGAAUGUGUAAAAUAAAUAUGGCUUCAUCUUCGGCUGGCCCAACACUAAUAACCCAAGCUCUAAAUAUUGUGAAAAGCCCAAUACCUGGUAGGCCCAGCUGUGUGUCCAAAAAGAUGUUCAGACAACAUCAAUUAUAUCGAAGUUUCUUAGUGGACCACUUUUCUCUUCUUCUUCAUCUCUACUUUAUUCUUCUUCUUCAUCUCCUUCGUUUCUUCUUCUUUCUCCAUGAAUCAUAUAAUUAGGAUGGGGUUUCUUCUUCUCAACACUAGGUGGGGAAGGAUGUCACACAGUGGUUUUUGUUUUAAUUAUUACAAAGUACACAUGUCAUUCAUUAAUGGGUUCAUUUGAUAUAUAUUGGCAAGUGUAACUCAAGCAUUUGGUUUGCUCAACUGGAAUAUUUACUUGAUAUAUUUAAUAGCAACUUGAAGUAUUUGAUUGCUAGAGGGGCCAGUUGAGGCAUCUGUAUGAUUGUUAAUGACAACUUAAAGGAGGCGUUUAUGUAUUUUGCCUACCCAAAAUAAUACAUUCAUUCUUGUGAGAGACUAAAUCCAUUUUCAUCGAGUUUGGAAGCUGGAAAGAGUAAUCUUGGUUAUAACUUAUACUCUGUAAUAAAUAAGAAGAAGAAAAACCUCAUUUCUCAAUGUAAAUGUCACUGACAUGGGAGAAAAAGAAAACCAUUAAUCAAAGAAAGGGGUUUUAAGUUAAAAAAAUAUAAAAGAUGAUAGAAGUAUAGUGCUACGGUGGCAUCCUUGUUUUCUUGUUCUUUUUUUUUCUUCUUUCUUUUUUGCUGAAAGCAUUCUUAGUUCAGGAAAGAAUAAUGUGCGGGUGAUCAACAGAAAAGCCAAAAAGAAAAAAGAAAACAAAAUUGUUACCUCAAUGCUGUGUAUAAAGGUUCAUGGCAUUUUGAUGCCUCAAUACAAAGGCACGAUUCCUUAAGAAAGACAUUAUUCAAGUAAAUAGGAGUCAUUGCUUCGACGAUUGUCUUCUCUGCUAUAAUUUCAUGUUUUGUGCAGGCCUUGUACAAUUUAGUAGCAGCGCGAGAUAAGCUAGUUGGGGGCAAUAAACACACAGUGUUAGUUUUUAAAUGGAUGGAGGCUAAAAUUGUCAAAUUUUACUUAAAGGACUAAAACUGAUAUGUGUAUAUUUAAAGGACCAUCAUCAAUCUACUUUCAAAGAUAAAGGACCCUUUUUAUCAUUUUCUCUUAAAAUAUACGAAGAGGGGCCUACUUGAACAGUAAGUGGCUAUUUUAAAAUGUCAUAGUAACACGUGACAUGGAAAGUAGCAAACUUAUCAAGUGUGUACAAGUAAUAAAGCUAGCAAGUAUAAUAUCUUGAAAGCAUAUAAACUAUAAAAUGUCAAAAAUGUCCCUAUGCCAGCCACAUAUUGACCAUGAGGUGCCUUGUUAUAUCCACUUAGGGGUCGUUUAUUAGAAAAAAUAAUGCAAGUAUUAGUUGUGUGCAUUAUUAAUAACUUGUUUGGUACAUUUUUUCAACUUGUAUAUAACUAAUGCUUGUAUUAGUUAUACAACAUACUUGUAUUAACCUGUGUAUAAAUAAUGCAUAGAAAACUAUGAUAUUAGUAAUACCAAGGGUGUUAAUGCAUGCAUUAGCAUAGUUAAAGACAAAAUUAUCCUUGAAGCCCCUUAAAGCUAGAUAAUAUAGAGGGCAUUUUUGUAAAAAAAUAUUUUUCUUAAAAUUAUAAUGCAUUAAAAUUUUUAAUACACCACACCAAACAAUAGAUAAGAAAUAACAUCUGCAUAACUAAUGUUUACAUUACUAACACAUACAUUACUAAUAUUAGCAUUACUAAUAUAUCUUAUUCCGCAAUAUUUUUAUACACCCUACCAAAUGACCCCUUAUAGUACAGGGGAGAACUAGAUAUUCCUUGAAUAAUUAACUAAAAAAUAUAGAGAUGAGUGGUUGAGCAGUUAGUUUGUUUUCAACCAGUUAAUAGUAUAGUCAAACUUUAUUUCCCCCUUUCGGAAAGCAACCGGCGUCCAGCGACCGGAGUCCGGCAAGAUCAAACCUCCGUCACACCUCGGCAGCGGCACUUUGUAGACCUAUCUCUUUAACUCCGUUAACUGUAAAGGUCUUCUUCACCUCUUUCUAUUGACCAAUAUAGAUUCGAUUCAUUUCAAGCAUACUUUGACUUUGAUUCUUUUAUGAUUUCUGUUUUUCACAAAUUAGUAGGACCUAGGAUUCAUAUUUAUGUGAGCUCAAUUAUAAAUACUACCACUAAUAAUGAUAAUUAAGUAUUUAUUUGUAUAAUUGUAUUAAACAAAUAUGGAAGUGUAACAAACGGAAUAACAACCAAACCAACUAGCUAUAUUGAUUCACUGAACGGACUUACAAAUAACUAGAAAUUGCAAUGAAACAAUAAGGGAUAACAUAGAGAGAUGAGAGGACAGAAAUACACACCAUAGAAGGAGAUGAGAAGCUUAGGCGGAAAGAGACGAGAAGUACAGCUUUUCACAUAACAUUUUGGCUAAUCUUCCAAACAUAACCCCUUUUAUUCACUUAGUCACGUGCUUUCUUAACCUGGAUCCCAGACAAAUCUCUUGUUGGGCUUUCUAAAUCUUGGACCUCUUCGCGGUUUAGCCCCCGGCCCAAUAGCCUCUGUCAUGCAAAAAUCAUUAGGAACAAUAUCAUAGUUUGGUUUGCAGCUUGGAGUAGUGUAGACUUGGUUUCAUUAAAAUUNNNNN
rnacentral:lncRNA from 1 species